CGGAGGGUGGGCUAGUGGUUAGGCCGUGAGUUUUGGGAACUCAUAGUCGGGGGUUCAAAUCCCCCCCUUCCGA
rnacentral:tRNA from 1 species